rnacentral:lncRNA from 1 species
UGUUGCUUUCACUUUCUUACAUAGUUUGACUUUUUAAAAACAGUGUUCCGGUUUUGCCUACACCUUAAUUCAGAGCUUACAGAAAUUUGUCCUUUGAGAAGUUCCUGUCCUGUCUUAAUCCAUUUCUCUGGAAAAUAGAAGAGGUUAGAAAGGUAACAGCAACAGGUGUCUGGACUUUGCCCCCGGUUUCCUGCUCAGGGUAGAUACAUGGGGGCCUACCAGUUCCCAAAAACCAGCCUGGCCUUCUGG